rnacentral:rRNA from 1 species
UGGGGAAUUUUGGACAAUGGGCGAAGCCUGAUCCAGCAAUGCCGCGUGUGUGAAGAAGGCCUUCGGGUUGUAAAGCACUUUUGUCCGGAAAGAAAUCCUUGGCUCUAAUACAGUCGGGGGAUGACGGUACCGGAAGAAUAAGCACCGGCUAACUACGUGCCAGGCAGCCGCGGUAAUACGUAGGGUGCAAGCGUUAAUCGGAAUUACUGGGCGUAAAGCGUGCGCAGGCGGUUUGCUAAGACCGAAUGUGAAAUCCCCGGGCUCAACCUGGGAACUGCAUUGGUGACUGGCAGGCUAGAGUAUGGCAGAGGGGGGUUAGAAUUCCACGUGUAGCAGUGAAAUGCGUAGAGAUGUGGAGGAAUACCGAUGGCGAAGGCAGCCCCCUGGGCCAAUANUGACGCUCAUGCACGAAAGCGUGGGGAGCAAACAGGAUUAGAUACCCUGGGUAGUCCACGCCCU